rnacentral:lncRNA from 1 species
CCAGCCCCACCCCCCAACGCUGUAACCCACCCGUUUUUGUGGACUUUUUCCGCUGGACGAACUUGGCGCCCCGGCCUUCGGGGAGUUAUUUUUGGGUGCGGCUUUGGCUGCGGCUUAUUUUUGGCACACAGAGGCCCCUCGCAAAGUCUCGCGGCAUUCCGAGUCCAGCGGACGAAGUGGGCCAGCCCCACCCCCCAAGGCUAUAGCCCACCCGUUUUUGUGGCCUUUUUCCGCUGGACGAACUUGGCGCCCAGGCCUUCGGGCGGUUAUUUUUGGCCGCGGCCUGAUUUUGGCACACGGAGGCCCAUCGGAAAGUCUCGUGGCAUCCCAAGACCGGCGGACGAAGUUGGCCAGCCCCACCCCCCAAGGCUAUAGCCCACCCGUUUUUGUGGUCUUUUUCCGCUGGACGAACUUGGCGCCCUGGCCUUCAGGCAGUUAUUUUUUGGCGCGGCUUUGCCCCCUGCCUACUUUUGGCUCACGGAGCCCCUCGCAAAGUUUCGCGGCAUUCCGAGUCCGGCGGACGAAGUCGG